rnacentral:rRNA from 1 species
AAUAGAUACCCUGGUAGUCCACGCCGUAAACGAUGAGUGCUAAGUGUUAGAGGGUUUCCGCCCUUUAGUGCUGCAGCUAACGCAUUAAGCACUCCGCCUGGGGAGUACGGCUGCAAGGCUGAAACUCAAAGGAAUUGACGGGGGCCCGCACAAGCGGUGGAGCAUGUGGUUUAAUUCGAAGCAACGCGAAGAACCUUACCAGGUCUUGACAUCCUCUGCCAACCCUAGAGAUAGGGCGUUCCCCUUCGGGGGACAGAGUGACAGGUGGUGCAUGGUUGUCGUCAGCUCGUGUCGUGAGAUGUUGGGUUAAGUCCCGCAACGAGCGCAACCCUUGAUCUUAGUUGCCAGCAUUCAGUUGGGCACUCUAAGGUGACUGCCGGUGACAAACCGGAGGAAGGUGGGGAUGACGUCAAAUCAUCAUGCCCCUUAUGACCUGGGCUACACACGUGCUACAAUGGAUGGUACAAAGAGCUGCGAACCCGCGAGGGUAAGCCAAUCUCAUAAAGCCAUUCUCAGUUCGGAUUGU